AUAUUGGUGCGAGACCGAUAGCGAACAAGUACCGUGAGGGAAAGAUGAAAAGAACUUUGAAAAGAGAGUUAAAGAGUACCUGAAACUGCUGAAAGGGAACCGAAUCGUUUCCAGUGUCUAUAAUCCGUGGCAUAUUUCAUUGGCGAGUGUGUGCGUGCGUGUGCUGUGGCAGCGGCUUUUUGCUGCGCUUGGUGCGUGUGUUGUGUGUGCUUGCUGGUGCCCUGUGCUGCGGUGGGACGUCAACGUCAGUUCGUGUGCUGCGGGAAAUGGCUGCCGAGGAGGUAGGGCUUACGCUUGCGUUUGUCUGUUAUAUCUUGGUGGACGAGUCGUCGCGGUUGGGACUGAGGUGCCUACAACGUGCUUUUGAGUGGGUUUGUGUCUCCGUGUGUGCCGUGUGCGGAUAGCUUGCUAUGCGUGUGUGGUUAUGUGUGGAUUGAUGCGGGCUUUAACUUGUUGCCGUUCGGGACGUUGACGAAAUGGAGCGAUCCGACCCGUCUUGAAACACGGACC
rnacentral:rRNA from 1 species